rnacentral:tRNA from 1 species
GGUUCCAUCGUGUAAUGGUUAGCACUCAAUACUAUAAAUCUUGCGAUCCGAGUUCAAACCUCGUUGGAACCU